CCAGAUGUGUGGGGUGCAUGUGAGCCUGCGGCCCUGCUGUGGUUGUGUGGAUCUUAGGCUAGCUCUAACCAUGCAGGCACUGCCUGGCACCUGUCCACAGCUCAGGACACUCCCUGCCUUAGCUGACUCGCUAAUUAGCCCUGUUUGAUGGGAAAGCAUUUGGCAUCACGACCCUGGUUCGUGCAUGGAUUUGGAGCCCAGCCAUACAUUUCCUCGUCCUGUUUCCAUCCAUACCACAGAUACCACAGCUACUCUCACAGGUGGACGGGGUAACAGUAUAAACUGACCAACUCCAUGGCUGAACUUGAUCAGAAGCCAGGGCACGCUCUGCAUUCUGACCACUUAAGAAGGGACAUAGCCAAGCCGAAGUGGGACCUUUACCUUAUUUUAUGUCUGAGACAGGAUCUCUGUGAUAACCUAGAACUCAACAAUCCUCCUGCCUCAGCUUCCUGCCCCACUGUGCCCUGUUUUUGGAUGGUGCUUUUCUGUCUACCCUUUUUCCAUUGAGGAAAACCACAUAACCAGUGUACAACAGUAACCACCUUCAGCUGCUCACAUGCCAUCAUUCAGACCCUUGGGAUAUCAGAUGUUGAGCUCUGCAGUGGGAGGGCUGGUCCCUGAAUGGCUAGGAGCGGGUGGAGGAGGUGGGAGCAUCCUGUUCCCAAGGACCCCCAUGGGUGGUAGGCCUGUCAGAGAAAGCGUGGCAAUGGUGGUACUUCUCCAGACUCAGUGUUUUGUCUGGUUCCGGCAGGAAUCGUGAGCGACAGUGACUUUCCUCAUUCUGAUGGCAUGCCUGUGUGUGAGAUAUGCCACCACCUUCCUAGAGUAUUGAUUUUCUAGCCCGGGGACAGGGACUUUCUGAAACCCUACUGGGUCCCUGUCCCUGGAAGUGGCCACUUAGCUUUGGGCCACCUGUCCAACAGGAAUCUGAGGGGAUGUUCAGUCAGGCUGCUUUGGGGACAUGAGGGCCUUGGGCAGAUGUCCCUGGGCUGCCCUGGACACAUGCCCAAAGCUCACCCAGCCUCAGUUUCCCACAGCCUGGGCCCAGGCUUGUAAGUAUAGCACUUGGCAUGGUGAUGUAUAGUACCUGCAUUGCGUUGUGUGUCCAUCCCCAGCCCCCCUCCCCCAGCUAUCCCCCGGUACAGGGCCUGAACACAGGUGCCAGACUUAAAAGCCAGCCCUGGGUCCCCUGAGGGUCAUCACUCAGGAUGUGCCAGUUUGGGCCUGGGUGGCAUGUAGUUACAUGCUACCUUCUCCCGGCUCCACGUCUCCUGGGGUCUGCCGUUUGUCCUAUGAGUUUCCGUUCACAUAGGGAUUGGCUGCGUCUAUUGUGGUACCCCCAAUGCCGAGGAUACAGUUCUCUCCUUGAAGCCAUAGACUGUAUGCCCUAGGCUGCUGGGGUGUGCAGAGAAGUUGGACGUUUUGAAAGCGCUGCAUUCUUGUGCCUGGAGAUCUUUUCUAGAAAGGUCUAUCAAGGUAUUGAAUAACCUGCAGGUGUCUGUCUGAGCCUGAGGCAACCGACUGCUUUCAGACACAUGCAAAACAGCCCUGAAAACUGCCAGUUGGAGUGAAUGCGCACCUCCCCCAGGUAAACAGUGGUGUAUUUUCUGCAACGGACGGAGAGGAGAUCAGUCAGAACUCACCGCUAAAGUUUCUAGGUAAAAGUUGUUGAUUUGCAAAGAGAGAAACAGAUUUUUUUAAGUGCAGGAAACGGCUGUGUGGGCGUCAGUGAUUGGGCUGCCUGAGAUAGCGGGAUCCUGGCGGGCCCCACCCUGCCACUUCCUGCCAGCGCUGCCCUGCGGCUCCCAGCAGAGCCUACCCGCUGCCCCAGCUACACUCACUCACCAGCCAGUCACCUUUAACCUCUCCCCAGGUUAAUGAUCAUUUUUAUUACUACUCGUGACCUCCCCCACUUCUGCAAGGCCAGGCGCACGAUGGGGAGGAUAAGGUCAUGGCGACUUUGCCCCUUCCCCACAGCGCCUCCUCUGACCGUGCACCCACGUUAGCAAGCAGCCCUCAUGAGCAGCCACAUGAGAACGGUCUGGCCUUGUGUUGAAUUCGAUGCCCCUUCCAGAGCAGAAGCAAAAAGUCAUUUCUCCUGUGGCAUACACUUCCUCUCCCACCCAUGUGAGAUCUAUGCAGAGUGGCAUGAGUUCCUCACAGGGUCACUGUGGCCUGCAGGGUACAGGCACAGGGAAUGUUCUAGGGCUGUAAGCAGCCCACUCGAGUGUGCUCUCAACCCUCCUGUGAGGUACCAGGCCAGGGUCGGAACCUGCGUGUCUGGGCCCUGGUGCUGGCCAUGCUGUGCCCGAGCCUCCUGUGGCUGCGUGUUGUCAAAUGGCAUCGCCAUCUGAGCCUGUGGUUAGCACCUCUGCCCUGAACGUAACUACUUUAAUUCCGUUCCCACGAUGGUGGCAAAGAGAUAAUGCAGUGGGUACACUAGAGAGUUUAGAAUGGGACAGACUUGUUCCAUUUCAGGAAGAUUCUGGCGUUUGCCAGCCAGCCAGGAUGGGCAGAAGGCACCCAAGCAGCCCGAGACACCUAAACUGGUGGAGCGUCACCACCCCCAUCUUGCCCUCACUCAGUGCUCUGCUGUUGUCAAGGCAGCCCUGGAGUGUCUGUCCCAGGGCCCGGUGUGUGUAACCAGUGCCUGCUGAGGAUGCUGGCUGAGGAGGCACCUGUGUACUACUACAAGGGCUGCUUUCCCGGCGACUGCGGAGUCCAUGCUUCUUCAGCUAGUUUCGGUGACCUGGCAGUUCCCGCUCUUUAGAGUUAGCAGAACAAUUUGAAAAUAGAAAAAGUAUUUGCCUACCUCAGCACACCCACCCUUUUGUACACAGCAGGGUGGAUCCAGUGGGUGUCUUGUAACUCCAUUACCUGGUAUGCAGUAGUGGGUAAAUGCCCCUCCAGGAGUGGGUCACAGUCAUUGGAGCUCCUGGGGGCACCUGCAGGAUGUAAGCCCAGAGAAAUAGGGCCUUCCUUACCAUCUGUGUCUGCAGAGGUGAGUGGGCAGAAGCCACUGACUCCCAGGCCCUCACAGAGCCAAGGGGUCACUGUUGGUUUACGUAAAGGAUUCAGGCUAGGGCUCCAGAUACAGCCUCCCCAGCCCUCUGGCAAGGGCAGGGUAAUCACUCACCGCUUGUCAGAAAUCUGACCAUAAAGAGAGCCAAGUAGGGGGUGCUGGAGAGAUGGCUCAGUGCUUUAAGAGCACUGGCUGCUCUUCCAGAGGUCCUGAGUUCAAUUCCCAGCACCCACACGGUGGCUCCCAACCAUCUGUAAUGGAAUCCAUUGCCCUCUUUUGUCAUGCAGUUAUACAUGUGAGUAGAGCACUCAUAUACAUAAAUUACAUAAGAAAAAAGAGCCAAGUAGGGACCCUCCUCUUAAACCUCCCCGGGCUCCUCUGUGGGCCUGUGACCCUUUCCACCACAGGGCAUUCGUUCCCACUGUAGACAUCACAGUCUGUGGUGACUUUGUUAAAUGUGGGCACUCGUCUCCCUGCCCUUCACAGAGGUAGCAUUCUAGCUAUGUUAGCCCUUGUGGGGAAGAACAAAGAAGGGCCCUGGCAGCCCCAUGGCUGUGCAUAGCCAGCACUUAGGGUCCCCACCACCUGGCUUCUCUGCAGAUAGCAUCUCUCUGAGCACCCACUGGGACAGGAGGUCGUGUCAAAAGUGCCUUCUCGGAAUGCAGUGGGAGACCUGUCGGUUUGUGUUGUUUCGCAGUGAAGACUGACAGGUGCCAGCAAGGUGGCUUAUGCCUGUGGUCCCAGCACAUGGGGGCACAAGGUCCCGCUGAGGCUGUAGAGUGAAGCCCUGUCUCGAGAAACACCAGAAAUGAAUGACAGAACACAGGGCAGGUGGUUUGUAGCAAUUCAUGUCAGCCCUGCCCCCAGCCUGUUUUCUUCUGUAGGCUAAUGUCACCCCUUCAGUUCCUUGUUAGAGAUCAGAGCAACCUUUGUGAAAACUAGAAGAAAAUUGUCAUCCUCGCUUCAAAUCCGUUUGUCUUUUGUGCACCCGAAGUGAGUGGCCACCUUCUUCCCUUUGCAUGGUGGGGUGAUACCAUGUCCACCGGGCCCGCCAGCCCCAGAGAGUCCCAUGACCCCUGCCCGUUUCACAGUAGACAAAAACAGCCAAGCACAGGUGGGGAUAACAAAUAUUUGUUCAGCUUUUCUCCUUAGCUCAGACCCAAACCUCAUCCUGUCCCCUCCAAUGUGCCAAGCAAGUCUUCUCAAAAAUUGGUAAAUAUUUUUGGUGGGAAAUGUCGGCACCAUGAUGUGAUCCGGGACCUCAGAUUUUUAUCUCCUGGGCUGUGCUCUGUGCUCUGCUCUGCUCUGCCGGUGUGCAGGACUCCUGCCUGCCUGCAAGCCCGCAGUGGCCCGGGCACCGAGGCUGCCAGAACAAGUCAGCUGGAGAACGGAGGUGUGAUCAGAAAGGACGCCUUCCUUGUGACAGUUGAAAGUUUGAGUCAGGCAGUUUGAUUUCUCUCUCCUCUGUCCCUGCUUAGUUUUUGUUUUGCUGUUAAGCUCGGGCAGAAAGGGGUGAGAUCUCUGGUGACCUCUUAGUGUCUCUGCCUGGUGUGUCCCUGCCUGGUGUGAUGUUCCUCACCUAGUUCCCAACAGAAGGACUCCCAGAAGCCUGGCAGUAUGAACGACCAGUGCUGUUUGUGGUGAAGGACACUUGACGGUGUUUGGGUGCCCAUGUCAGGGUGCACAGCAGUGUGGGAGCGACCUGGGUUGCAGAGGGUAAUGGCUGGGGUGGGGCAGCUGCCCUGACCACAAACCUUUAGUCUUUGUUUUCUAGUUGUCUUUUUUGGAGGUGUUUUUCCUGUAUUUAUCUUUCAUCUGCAGAACUGCGUUUUCUAAGUACAGCGAUGAUUUGUGUUAACAGAACUUAAGAGUUUGACAGAGGCAAGCACACACUCUCUGGUUUGUUUUGUAAAUUUUCCCCCUUUUACAGCAGGAUGUCUCACCCUAUAGCCCAGGCUAGUUGCCUGGAACUCAUGAUCCCCCUGCCUCAGCCUUCAGAGUGCUGAGGUUAGAGGUGUACACCAUUCCAUAUGUAUGUGGUGCUGGUGAGAGCCCAGGGCUUCCUGCAUACCAAAUAAGUUAAAUAUUUGAUAUUCUCCUUAAUCAGAUUUCUAGGGACCCUGCACCCCAGACCUCUGACUGUUCUCUUGUAUCACCCCUUGAAUGGAGAGAGUCACCCUUCUUGGAGCUGAUUAUUGAGAUCCCAGUGCAUUACCUGAACCUGGCUCUGGAAUGGCUUAAGGGAUCCCUGAAAAGCAAGCUAAGGUCAGGUGAAGGCGAACCCCUGACCUAGUCUCUGGGUGUGCUGGCUCUGUGUACUGGGCGACAAACAGCUUCGGAAACCUGAGAAAUAGAAAAUUAAAGAAAUUCUUACCAGGGUGGGGCCGGCCACUGAGUAAUUUUUUUUUAGCAGAGUGUGCUGUGGUAAACCAUGGAGUUCGUGUUGUUUUUGCCGAAGUCAGUGCUGUGUGUGGUUUCGGUACACCGCUCGGGUGGCUGUUGAAACUGCUGUGGUUUCCACAUAAGGCCUACUGUGCCUCUUCAGUCCCCUCAGCUAGUACAGCGGGCCGGGGGCAUGGGCCAGGGGUACCAUGCCUGCUGUGGCAUUGAUUACCACACACCAACCUGCUAAAUUUUUCAUGUAACAAAAGUUACAUGUUGUUGUUUGUUACUUUGAGGGGGGCAUCUCACAGGCUGUCUCAGAGAUUCCCCCUGCCUGAGUGCUACGAUUCAAGGUGUGUGCCGCCAUGCCUGGCCAAACAAUCCUUUUAUUGCUGUUGUUAUUAAUGAUACUUAGGAACUUUGUUUUUAUUUCCUUCCUUUUCUUUUCUUUAACUACAUUUAUUUGCACAUUCGUUAGUGGCACACAGGUCGGGGAUCGAGGGCAGCUCUCAAGGGUCAGUUCUUCCAUCAUGUGAGUCAUUGAACCCGGGCUGUGAGCAAGCAGCUUCGUUUGCUGGGCCAUCCUACCAGUAUUGACUUUAGACAUGGCCUCAGCCUUUCUGAGUUUAUUCUGAUCCUUUCCCGAAGCCAUCUCUCCAUACUCGUGUCCCAAGAGCCCAAACCACUGUGACCUUGCUUCCUACUGCUGGGACAGACAGAAUGACUGUCACACUCAGGAUCAGCUCCACCUCAGAAAAUAGGGAAAGCAAUUAAGGAGUUAGCAGAAGUGGUUACAUAAAAGCAGGAACUAGACCCAGCCUUGAAACAAUACAGCCACCAAAAAUAACUGGGUGCCAAGUGGGAAGCCACGGCCAGGGGCUUCCAUCAUUGCUCAAGCCCUGGCACAGUCCAGGGCCACGCCACCCUGCAAGUGGAAGGACCUGCAGCGCCUGCACACCAGCACCCAAAACACAGGCACCAAGAGAAAACAACCGUUUCUCUCCUGAAAACAAGAGGCAGCAGUUGCUGCUGUUGGGUUUCAUGAGCGCAGUCGCGAUUUCUAAAUAACGGUUUCAGCUGCAGCGAGUCAUGGUGUGAAAGCCUCUUUUCAUCUCGGAUCACCUCUCUGCUCUCAGAAGCCUUAGCCUCACUUGGCUGCAGCCGGCUGCAUUCCUGACGGCCCCUCCCAGCAAAACAGUUUUUUGUAUAUAUAUAUUUUUUAAAUCCCGCAAGCCAGAGGAGAAAGAGUUCUUCAUCAAAUAGAUGAAGAGAUUCAAAGUGGCUAGCUGCCUCCUUUCCCUGCUCAGAUGUUUUCAGAUCUGCCCAGCCUUGCCACACCCUUUAAGAAAUGUCCUGCUCUUAAAUUCUUAUUGUUCAUUGUUUUUUGAGAUGGUGUCUCAUGUAGUGCAGGCUAGCCUCAGACUCUAGGUAGCUAAUGAUGAACUUGAACUCCUGGUCUUCCUUGCUUCAGCCCCUGUACUUGAGUCAGAGGCGUGGUCGACCACACCUAGUUUUUAGUGGGUAGGGAAUGAAACCCAGGGCUUCGCUCCGGGCUGAAAAAGCACCCCACCCUUGUUUUUAUUUGAAACUGGGCUGACUAUGUAAUACAGUCUAGCUUUAAGUUCAUAACUCUGCCUCAGCCUCCCAAGUACGGGGUGACCGCCCACAUAACAUGGUCAAGGCCAGCCGGGGCUACAUGAGACCCUUUCUCAAAAAACAGAAAGUCCUGUUUCCAUUAGUGACCUUCUCUGCAUAGCUGGGGGUCAGGACUUCUAGCCAUGGACUUGAUGGUAGAAUAUGGUGACAGGCUGAGCAGGCAGCACAGGCUAGGUGGGGAUGUGCAGGAGGUCCCUCCACUCCUCAUGACCCUCCAAGAGUCAGCUGGUUCAGUCUCUAGUCUAGGACCUUGUCAGUACUAGACCUGCACAGGCAUGAGUUAAUGUGUGUUUGUGCAUGGUGGAGGUGGGUUUCAGAAACCAUGAUGGCAUAAGAUAGCAUCUGCUUUGAGAGUGCCCGGGGUUGGGGUCACUGCAGAAAGCUGGGAGGAGAGUUGGUGUGUGGUCCUGGGGCUUUCCUGGUACUCGGGUACCUAGGGAACUCAGAUUUUGUGCUAUAGAGAGCUACAUUCAGUCAAAGGCGCUCAGCCCUCCCUCCUAGUUCCUGGUUGGGCACUGAGGAUGGGGGUGGGGGAGGUCCAUAUUCAGGGAUAGAGGUUCCAGGCAUUGCGAAGAGAAUGAGAAAGCACACAGUAAGUGACUUAGCUACCAGGCUUUAGUCACAAGGGCCACAGAGGCUGUGACAGGUACCUGAGCCAUGCCACAGGAUGACCUUGGAUGUAGAUGAGGUGGAGUGCAUGAUGGGUAGGUGGGAAGGUCUCUGGCGGGAGGGGGUUUGUUUAGGGUGGAAGUUACAGAGGCAGUGAACAGAGAGGGUGCCCAAAGGAGGGCAGGCGCCUCUCCAUGUCAUUCUCUUUGCCUGGCUUCCCUUGGCCGAGGCUCCCAGAACACAGGCUGUGCUUAUGUUCCCAGCAGUCUGGGGACUGAGGAAAGGGGCCCAAGACAACAGUUAGACUCUGUGUUGGUACCACAAGUGUGCUGGUUCCUUGUGAGCCUCCCCAGCCUCUGCUGCCUGCCUGCUCUGGGGGUCCAGGGAUACAGGUGGCCUUGGCUGCCUGUUCCUUCAUCUCUGGUGGGGGGCCUGCUGGGGACUGGCCUGCAGGGAGGCUGGAGGUCGGCAG